GAUGAACGCUAGCUACAGGCUUAACACAUGCAAGUCGAGGGGAAACGAUAUUGGAAGCUUGCCUCCGAUAGGCGUCGACCGGCGCACGGGUGAGUAACGCGUAUCCAACCUGCCCAUCACUUGGGGAUAACCUUGCGAAAGUAAGACUAAUACCCAAUGACGUCUCUAGAAGACAUCUGAAGGAGAUUAAAGAUUUAUCGGUGAUGGAUGGGGAUGCGUCUGAUUAGCUUGUUGGCGGGGUAACGGCCCACCAAGGCGACGAUCAGUAGGGGGUCUGAGAGGAAGGUCCCCCACAUUGGAACGGAGACACGGUCCAAACUCCUACGGGAGGCAGCAGUGAGGAAUAUUGGUCAAUGGACGAGAGUCUGAACCAGCCAAGUAGCGUGCAGGAUGACGGCCCUAUGGGUUGUAAACUGCUUUUAUAAGGGAAUAAAGUGAGUCUCGUGAGACUUUUUGCAUGUACCUUAUGAAUAAGGACCGGCUAAUUCCGUGCCAGCCGCCGCCGUAA
rnacentral:rRNA from 1 species